UGUUCAUAUCUUGUUGUACGUGUUCAUGUCUUGUUUCACGUGUUCAUAUCUUGUUGUAAACAAGAUAUGAACACGUGAAGCAAGAUAUGAA
rnacentral:pre_miRNA from 1 species